CUCGGUAAGGAUCCGUAAGGUUCAUUUAGAUCCUGGCAGACGGCGGCAGGGCCCAUCCAUGCCCAUACUUCCGAUCUUUCUUUCUAAUGGAAGGGCGAGCAAAAGGGGACUGUUGAACUCAAGUUUGGACAAAACCCGUAGAAGAGCUGAUGAGGCUUGUCCUGUAUGGCCACCAUACAGAGAGAAGUGUAACCUCCUUUUCUGUAUGAACAAACUGUAGCUUAACCUUAUAACCAAGCAAUUGAGUAUCUAUCAAUCACAGCAAUGGAAUUCCAGCCAGUCACAGAAAUGAAGUUCUAUCCAGUCACAGGCUACCGGUGGAUCACAUGGUGCCCGCAUGCUGCCUGCAGCCAAUCAGGCUGUUUCUAAACGGAUCCCCACCCAGGCACCAGCAGAGAACCUGUCUGUGUCCUCCAUGGCUUUUGCAGGGAACUCAGAGGUGGUGGGAGGCCCAGGUCAGGGAGGAAGGGUGAGCUACAUCAACACAGGAAAUGGAAUGGAGCAGUGCGCAGCUGCUGCCAGCCAGGCUGAGGCUUGAGGACUCACAUCUGGACAGAGAAGACAUUUUCCUCUCAGUGCCUCGGUAGCCUUCAGCCACUGUAGGAGCGGGCACGCUGUUGUCACAGCCGUCAGAUCCUGGACAUGGCAGCUGACCUGCCUUACAUGGAUGUCAGCAGAAGCUUCUUCAAGGAUGACCAAAUGUUGGCCUUGCCUUGCGCCAAGCUCAGUGCAGACAGAAGCCAGUACGCUGAAAGCUGAAAGAGAAACAAUCGAGAAGCGGUCCCCGUUCCGGGAAGAAGCAGCCAUCAUCACACAGAGGGUGUUCUCGCACAAGAAGAAAAGCUUUUCCUUUAUGAGGAUGAAUUCUUACUGAAAAUCCUUCCUCUGCCUACAUGCGUGAGAAACAUUGGGCUGAUUGGACAUGCCACCUUAUUGAAUGACUGCCUGAUGGACAUGGUAAAGGUAGCCCAGAAUCUGUCCCCUGUGGGAAGAGUGUCCUGGGGACAUAGACUCUCUGGGCAGCAAAGUCUGAGUGCUGUCCUUCUCUGUGCCCCACCCACCUGUUCUUCAUUGGCUGAGCAUGGCUCCUGGGGUUGAUCGCACACCACUCUGCUUUCUUCUAGGUCAUAGUGACCCCUGCUGGUGUUGGGAGUAGCUGCCCCCAGAGCGCUGGGGGUUCCUCGUCUUGGCAUCCUCAAUAUGCUGAGCUGGUGUGUCAGAGCCCAUCUUUUCUUUUCUUUUCUUUUUUUUUUUUUUAAAGAUUUAUUUAUUAUGUAUACAGAAGAGGGCACCAGAUCUCAUUACAGAUGGUUGUGAGCCACCAUGUGGUUGCUGGGAAUUGAACUCAGGACCUCUGGAAGAGCAGUCAGUGCUCUUAACCUCUGAGCCAUCUCUCCAGCCCCGAGCCCAUCUUUUCUAUCAGGCUAUCUUUAAUGAUUUCAUGAGCAUCCUACUGUUCCAUGUAAUUAGGAAGAGAUUCCUCUGGACUUAGGCCUAGCUAUGGACAAUAGAUACAGGAACUUCAUGUUGCUCAGAGAGCAUUCCUUUCCCUAGACUAUGUUGUUUGCAUACUGCAGAACAUUCCUGAUCCUUCUCUUGAAAUGCUGUUCUGGGGGAGACUGUCACUUCUCUGACAGGCAUAGAGAGGACUUGCUCCCAACAGUGCCUGCCUAUUUUCCCUACCUGAGCAAGGGCUCAGCUCACGGGCUUGGCAGGCCUUCACCCCUGCAAGCCUUUUUCUUGCUGUCCUGCUCUGGGCUUCCCAUGUCCACUUCUCUCCACAGUUGUGGAAAUAUCCUGCUAGGACUCCCUCUGAAACCUUAUCUUUGGUGACCAGCUCCUGCUGCUCUUGGCUAUACCUACAGCUCAUCCAAGGCACAGUGGUUCACCAAAGUCUCCAUGUUGAUUCUAGCCACACUCUGGAAGAUGCUCAGAGAGUGGAUUGGCUAAGGUAAGAGGCAUGGCACAGCGGGAGGAGACCAGGGGACUGUACUUGAGACUAUUGCGUUGUGUAUCUUUGUCCCUAUUGUGCUUUCAGGCCCAGACACCCACGUUCUAGAGGGGAGGAAGGGCUUUUACUGGUCUCUAUGGAACCUGACCUCCUCAAAUUCAUUGAUAAUUCAGGCAGUGACUCUAUGCUGUCGUGCAAGAUUAAUUUGCACUCAGCAGUGAUAUCUGCUGCAUCUCCAGUGACUCCAUGGUCAUGGUUUGGUCACUGAUGAUUGGAACCUUAUUUCGGUCUCCAUGGUGAUCACACUACUUCAGCAUCUUCUGAGGCCACACACCCUCUCACCUGCUGUGUGUUACCCACCAUCUUUGCAAGGCAUGGAUUUGACUGCAGGCUGCCUCUCUGGGUUCCCAGGUCAGCCCUGCUCUGCCAGGUUCCUGUCCAGGAGAGAGCAAGUGUGGUCCUGACAAGGCAGGCAGUCUCCCCAUGCAGUGGUGUGGCCCGUGGCAGCCAGCGAUAGAGUCCUCUGAGCCCCCUGAAUCCCUGCAGGAGACCAGGACAAGAGGAUUCUGCAACAUGGCAGCUGGCCUUGAUCUUAUCACCUCUUGGACCUUUUGAUGAAGUUUUUCCAGGAAUGUGGUGGCAACCUUAGCAAGAAACUCAGACAACAGAGGUGGGAAAGGCAGGCCAGGGAAGGGAUGAGGCUGGAGUGUCUCUCAGCA